UACAGAGACCUCAAGCGUUAUCCGGAUUUAUUGGGCGUAAAGCGCAGGUAGGCGGCCUUGUUAGUCGGAUGUCAAAUGCCCGGGCUCACCCCGGGAACGGCAUUCGAAACGGCAAGGCUCGAGAGUGUGAGAGAUCGGUGGAAUUCAUAGUGUAGUAGUGAAAUGCGUUGAUAUUAUGAGGAACACCCAAGGCGAAGGCAACCGAUUGGCACAUUUCUGACGCUCAGCUGCGAAAGCGUGGGUAGCGAAUGGG
rnacentral:rRNA from 1 species